GAAAUGCGAUAAGUAGUGUGAAUUGCAGAAUUCAGUGAAUCAUCGAAUCUUUGAACGCACAUUGCGCCCCUCGGCAUUCCGUGGGGCAUGCCUGUUCGAGCGUCAUCUACACCCUCAAGCUCUGCUUGGUGUUGGGCGUCUGUCCCGCCUCCGCGCGCGGACUCGCCCCAAAUGCAUUGGCAGCGGUUCCUUGCCCCCCUCUUUGCGCAGCACAUUGCCAUUCGAGGCGGCGGCGGCCCGCAUCCAACAAGCUCAACCCCCCCGUCUUUGACCUCGGAUCAGGUAGGGAUACCCGCUGAACUUAAGC
rnacentral:misc_RNA from 1 species